GCGGGAGUAGCUCAGUCUGGUAGAGCGUCUGCCUUCCAAGCAGAAUGUCGCGGGUCCGAAUCCCGUCUCCCGCU
rnacentral:tRNA from 1 species